rnacentral:rRNA from 1 species
UACGGGGGGGGCAAGCGUUGUUCGGAAUUACUGGGCGUAAAGAGCGCGCAGGCGGUCGUUCAAGUCGCGUGUGAAAGCCCCCGGCUCAACUGGGGAGGGUCACGCGAUACUGAUCGACUCGAAGGCAGGAGAGGGUAGUGGAAUUCCCGGUGUAGUGGUGAAAUGCGUAGAUAUCGGGAGGAACACCAGUGGCGAAGGCGACUACCUGGCCUGUUUCUUGACGCUGAGGCGCGAAAGCUAGGGUAGCAAACGGG